UACGUAGGGGGCAAGCGUUGUCCGGAAUUACUGGGCGUAAAGCGCACGUAGGCGGCUUUGUAAGUUAGAGGUGAAAGCCCAGGGCUUAACCCUGGAAUUGCCUUUAAGACUGCAUCGCUAGAAUCGUGGAGAGGUGAGUGGAAUUCCGAGUGUAGAGGUGAAAUUCGUAGAUAUUCGGAAGAACACCAGUGGCGAAGGCGACUCACUGGACACGUAUUGACGCUGAGGUGCGAAAGCGUGGGGAGCAAACAGG
rnacentral:rRNA from 1 species